ensembl:lncRNA
AAGUUGCACCCACCAUACAAAUACAAUUCCAAAAUGCAAAGCAAACAAUAGAAGUUCAAAAACAGAAAAUCCUUCACCUGUAGGAUACGGUUAACUCUCUGACAGAGGAGAGAAAUUAUCUUCGUGCAAGACUUGAAGAUGGUAAGUUACCCUCCAGCCAGUCACAUUGUACCCUACAUGAAGCAACUUAAAGGGUUAGUUCACCCAAAAAUGAAAAUUCUGUCAUUAAUGACCCUUAUGUCGUUCUAAACCCGUAAGACCUCUGUUCAUCUUUAGACACAAAUUAAGAUAUUUUGGAUGUAAUCCGAGAACUUCCUGGUCCUCUAUAGACUGUAUAAUCAUCAGUUUAAUCAGUUUAUUGUCAACUAAAAAAAAAAUUAGUCUGGGAGAGCCCAAUGUAUGCAAUCACUUUCAGUGCUGUUGAAUUAUAUUUGUCCAUAAUUUUGUGCUUGUACAGUUUGGAACAUUUGCAGUUUUAUCCAUAUUUUGUUUAAGUUUACUUUGUUCUCAGUUAAUUUAUUAUUGUCUGUCACAGCUUUAAUUCAGAAGGGUCCCUCAGAAGGGGUACCUACACAGACUGCAACUACAAGAAAGAGCAGUACUUCUGAAUCUUCAAAUUUUUCAACUUCCGAGUCCUCUGAUUCUGAGCCCCCAAAACACAAAAAAAGAAAGGUUAAGGAGAAACACAGAGCGAAAAGACAUAAGAAAUCAAAGAAAUUGACUUCUGACUAUUCCAAAAGAGUGCAUACCCCAGAAGAAUCGCUGAAGAGGUACUACAAGGUAUUAAACCUUGUAAAACAGGGCCUGAGUAAGGCAGAGGCCUACAACAGACUAAACGUUGACAGGAACACAAUAGUCAUCCAGGCUCCAAUUGCAGAGUUAGCAGCAGCUAAUCCAGAAUCAUUCCGCAAGCUAAGGCAGAUGUUUAAAAAGGGAGAUAGCAUCCUGAAAUUUGCCGAAAGCUGUCUUUGUCUUUGUAAAGAAAAGGCCAAUGAGGAUGUGAUUAAACAAAUGAAAGAGGCAAAUGACCUGCUUGACAUAAAUAAAAAAUGAACGAUAAGCACACAUUAUAGUUGUUAGGGGGUUGUUCUUGUGUUAGGAAUUUGUUUAAAUCAUUUAAUCCUGACAAUGUUAUAAUGUUCAUAUAUAAAUUUUUAUUAUAAAACGUGUGUUUGCACAUUUUUAUGCAUAUGUUACAUGGGUUCACUGCAAAUUGAACAACAGUGUUUAUGUAGGCAUUUGUUUUAGGUUAAUAGUAAAUUUUAUAAGGGCAUUGAUAUUUGGAAAUGUUUAUUUUCAGGUUUUAUUUUAAUUUAUUUGAUUUUUAUUUGUUGUGCUUUACUCUUGUGCUACUUUUACAGUGCUUGUUUUUUCUUUAAUAAAUCUAGUACUUAUAUAAUGGUUGAUUUGUACUUCUGUUUAACAUUUUAACUCAUCUUUAGUAGUUGUACUAGGCUAAAUAAGAUUCCAAACUUUAGUCUUUAAUACUUAAGGGGAAACUUCUUUAUAAUCUGUAACAUCAAACUCAUUAACUAGUCAUUAACUAACGUGAGUUCAUGAUUUGUUGAGGCAUCUUUAUGUCAUGACUUUACUUGAAGGGGCACAUGAUGGUUAACUCAUUAUUAACUAGUCAUUAACUAGCAUGAGUUCAUGAUUUGUUGAGGCAUCUUUAUGUCAUGACUUUACUUGAAGGGGCACAUGAUGGUUAACUCAUUAUUAACUAGUCAUUAACUAGCAUGAGUUCAUGAUUUGUUGAGGCAUCUUUAUGUCAUGACUUUACUUGAAGGGGCACAUGAUGGUUAACUCAUUAUUAACUAGUCAUUAACUAGCAUGAGUUCAUGAUUCGUUGAGGCAUCUCAACAU